GUUUCGUUGACAACAUCCUAGUCCAGACUUUUGCCGUGCGUCCUUCUGGCAAGUUUUUUUGCCGGUCGCUGUUUCAAGGUGAAAUUUUUCGUUUCGUUGCUGUAUUUUCACCCCCUCCCGUCUCUCUUGUGAGAAGUUUUUGGCGCGGAAGAGAUCGUCUUGCGAGGCUCCCCUUAAGCUUUUUCUCGUUCCAGCAACUCGUCAGCCGUUUGUUUAAGUCCGUAGCAAAGUUGAUCUUGCGUCCGGUCGGCCUGAAUGAGGACAGCACACCCUAGUCGUGGCCGGUGUGGAUAUGACCAAGAGGGGUAGGGUGGACGCCGGGAAGGAGAAGCUCAAAUCGGAGGCGGCGGCGGCGGCGGCGGCGAAGGCGAAAGCGGGGGCGGGCGCCAGCUUGGAGGAGGAGGAGGAUGACAACGGUGGGUUCGGCGCUUGGCUCCGAUCCGGCGAGGGCGUCACCUACAUGCACAUCUUCGUCCCUCACCAACUCCUUCUUCGUUUUCCUCACCAUGCUCUGGCCGCAGAUCAGUCAGAUGCUCAAAAUCAUGUUCCUCCCCACGGACAAGUAGACGUCCCAGCUGCUCCUAACUGUGUGAAGCCACACAGAGCGCACCACUGCAAUUCAACCUGUGUAAACUCUCGGCCGAGAACUUGA
rnacentral:lncRNA from 1 species